CAAGUUUUUGGCUAUCAGCCGUUUGAGAGAAUAAACCAAAAACAUUUUUGAGAAAACGAAGUUGGAAUUAGCAUUCCAUUCGACCAUUCGUCGUUCGUUCGAGUGCGGAUACUUGUAGAGGGCAGUCGUCUUUCAACAAUGUAGUACCUUUGGAGAUCCGAUUCAAAUCAAGCGUUAGUAUCUAGAAGUUUAACGAAACAAAGACAUUGUAAACCCCUUUGGAGUCAUGCCAUCCGACCAUGAUGAUGGAGGAGCUAAAUGACGAUACACAAGUUGGUGGUCUAAGACGAUGCCAUGGAGAUGCUUAUUACCUUAGUGAAUCAGAAGCUCGUUUGGGUUGGAAGCUUGUCGAAGCUAUUACUUGAUUAAAUGUGAAUCAGAAGCUCAUUCGGGUUGGAAGCUUGUCGGGGCUAUAUCACACUAUCCAUCGGCUCUUUUGGUACAUUUGGAUGUUUAAUUUUGGUUAUAAUGACAUGUAUAGGUAUUUUUGGCUAAUGUUGUCCUAUGUGUUUGAAGUGUUGUAAUGGCCAUUUGACUUUAUUGAG